AUUGAACGCUAGCGGGAUGCUUUACACAUGCAAGUCGAACGGCAGCGCGAGGUAAGCUUGCUUACCUUGGCGGCGAGUGGCGAACGGGUGAGUAAUGUAUCGGAACGUGCCCAGUAGCGGGGGAUAACUGGCCGAAAGGUCAGCUAAUACCGCAUACGCCCUACGGGGGAAAGGGGGGGAUCUUCGGACCUCUCACUAUUGGAACGGCCGAUAUCGGAUUAGCUUGUUGGUGGGGUAAAGGCCUACCAAGGCAACGAUCCGUAGCUGGUUUGAGAGGACGACCAGCCACACUGGGACUGAGACACGGCCCAGACUCCUACGGGAGGCAGCAGUGGGGAAUUUUGGACAAUGGGGGCAACCCUGAUCCAGCCAUCCCGCGUGUGCGAUGAAGGCCUUCGGGUUGUAAAGCACUUUUGGCAGGGAAGAAACAGCCUGGGCGAAUACCCUGGGCGAAUGACGGUACCUGCAGAAUAAGCACCGGCUAACUACGUGCCAGCAGCCGCGGUAAUACGUAGGGUGCAAGCGUUAAUCGGAAUUACUGGGCGUAAAGCGUGCGCAGGCGGUUCGGAAAGAAAGGUGUGAAAUCCCAGGGCUUAACCUUGGAACUGCACUUUUAACUGCCGGGCUAGAGUACGUCAGAGGGGGGUAGAAUUCCACGUGUAGCAGUGAAAUGCGUAGAGAUGUGGAGGAAUACCGAUGGCGAAGGCAGCCCCCUGGGAUGAUACUGACGCUCAUGCACG
rnacentral:rRNA from 1 species